CAAAAAAAGCACAAUAACAUGUCCCUUUUUACAGUGGUUAAUUGGAGACAAAAAAAGAAAAAAGAAAAAAAAAGUUUAGACCGACUAAGGGGAAGCAAAAUCCUUCAGAUCUGUGGAUUGGCUUUCAGAAUUAACGGAACUGUUCUCGACUUGUUGUUAAUCCAGAUUCAGAUCCUGUGUUUUUUUUUUUAUUGCUUAGAGAUCUAAUUUUCAAAAUUCAUGUGAAUCAGGUUAUUUUAAAUUUUUUGUUUGAAAAUUUCGGAAAGAUGAAUCACUUUGCGGUACAACCAAACACGUUCGCAGCUGGUGGAGAUUUGAGAAGAGAAGCUCUGUUUCAGUUGUUGAAAGAGAUCAACCACCGUCGUUUGCCCAAAAACCACGUCGUAUUGGUCUCCGUAACUACCAUAAUCAUCAUCCUUCUCGAUCUCUCUCCGUUGCUACUUUCAGGAUUGGGCGGAUCUUUUAAGAGAAUCUGCUAAUGAGCUGAAACAGAGUUCUUCAAGAAACUACAAGAAAAGAACAAGAAAGAGGAUGUUGUAAAAGAGCAGUUGUCUUGCGACUUCAAGGCAAAUCACAACACUCACUUAGCAUCUGAAGAACACAAGGAGAACCCACAAGUUGGUUGUUUUCAGAAGCUACAAAAGGUCUUGAAGAACUAAGGCAUUCAACCUCAAGCAAAGAUGAUGAAGUGAUGUUGAGCAAGAACUUAAAAGAGAGAGCUGAAGAGAUUAGAGAAGAGUAGUUGAUGUUUUUGUUUACAUUGAAAGAAAAAUUUUAUUUAAAUUAUAAAAAAUUUUGUUUAUAUUUUUUUGUCACUUUUUAAUAACAAUUAACUUCAACACUAAAUUAGACAUAUUUUUCCAAA